AACGAACGCUGGCGGCAGGCUUAACACAUGCAAGUCGAACGCCCGUAGCAAUACGGGAGUGGCGGACGGGUGAGUAACGCGUGGGAACGUACCCUGAGGUACGGAAUAACCGAGGGAAACUUCGGCUAAUACCGUAUGAGCCCCGCAAGGGGGAAAGAUUUAUCGCCUUGGGAGCGGCCCGCGUCGGAUUAGCUAGUUGGGGGUAACGGCCUACCAAGGCUUCGAUCCGUAGCUGGUCUGAGAGGACGAUCAGCCACACUGGACUGAGACACGGCCCAGACUCCUACGGGAGGCAGCAGUGGGGAAUCUUGCGCAAUGGGGGCAACCCUGACGCAGCCAUGCCGCGUGAACGAUGAAGGCCUUAGGGUUGUAAAGUUCUUUUACCCGUGACGAUGAUGA
rnacentral:rRNA from 1 species